AGCACUUACCAUAUACCUAGCUUCACAGGAGCUACUUUUCAUAUAUAUGAGUCUUUACUCCUGCAAAGUAGGCACUGCUAUUCUCAUUUUUCAAGUGAUAAAAGUGAAGUUCAAAAAGGGUAAAGAAUCCACCUAAGAACAUGCACCUGUUCAUGGGGUAGGACACAGAGCUAUCUGAAACCUGAGCAUGUUUAUGUGCAUGUCUGCAUGAGGUGGGAUUUUGCUGUCAUUAGAUCCUAUCUGGAGUGUGAACACAGGUGAAGGACUAGCAUUUUUCAGCCACGGUCUUAUGUUUACUUAGGAAACAGCCCAGCCCAGUGAACUGGGCUCAAACUCAAGACUGGCUGAUUCAACAAGGCACCCCUGCAGACAAAGCUGGCAGAGUAGAAGUUUCAACUCCUUUCCAUGGGGACUGUCAGGAGCCCUAUGCCAUCAAUGACUCCAAGGUUCCCAGUCAAACCCAGGAGCACAAGCCAUCGACCCAAAAUCUGAAUGCAUAUGCUUCCCAAAGAAAUUUUUACAAGAGAAACUUAAACCGCUACUGCCAGGAGCACUGGCCAUUCCAGCCAUGCCUCACUGGGAGGCCCUGAGCAUUCUAGCCGGCGGCUGCACAGCUGCUGGGGCAUCUCCAUGAGGAAGAGGGCGGUGGACAGGAGUCAUGAAGACUAAUUCGGAAACUCCCCUGAAGGAGGAGAAGACAUCUGAGCCAUCCUUGUGCCACCAAGCAAGAGUCACUCCAGCUCCUAAAAAGCCACCAUGGGAAGAGCUGCCUCCAAUUAAAGUUCUUGAUUGCACCAGAGGAUGUGUCCUUCUCUUUUCCUUUCCCCCUUACCAACUAAUGUCUUAUUAUUUUUAAAUAUAUUGUCACAUCUAACUAAGCUUAAAAAAUUUAGCCUAUUGGCUGGGCGCAGUGGCUCACGCCUGUAAUCCCAACACUUUGGGAGACCGAGGCAGGUGGAUCACAUGAGGUCAUAAGUUCAAGACCAGCCUGGCCAAUGCGGUGAAACCCCAUCUGUGCUAAAAAUAAAAAAAUCUGCCAGGUGUGGUGGCGUGCUCCUGUAAUCUCAGCUACUAGGGAGGCUGAGGCAGGAGAAUCACUUGAACCCAGGAGGCAGAGGUUGCAAUGAGCUGAGAUCUCGCCGCUGCACUCCAGCCUGGGUAACAGAGUGAGACUCCGUGAAAGAAAGAAAGGAAGGGAAGGGGGAAGGGGGAAGGGAAGAAAGAAAAAAGAGAGAGAGAGGAAGGAGAAAACAGCUUUUUGGAUACCUUCUGAAAUAAUUCCAAAUUUACAGAAAUGUCACAAGAAUAAUACAGAGAACUCCCAUUUAC
rnacentral:lncRNA from 10 species